AUUGCUUCUCGCCUUUUGGCUAAGAUCAAGUGUAGUAUCCUUUCUUAUCAGUUUAAUACCUGAUAUGCCCUCUAUCUCAGGACAAUAUAUUAAAUGGCCUUUUGGAGCUCAGAGUUGGAAUAGGAACUUGCUCCAUCCACUCCACUCAUUGACCUGGUAUUGCAGGACCUCUAGGAAUGGUGCACUGCCU